rnacentral:lncRNA from 9 species
GGCUGCUGCACAGGGAGAGAAAGGAUGCACAGGUCUCUGGUUUGGAAAUUACAAAUGGAGACGCCUCGACUGUUCCAGGCCGGGUCAGGCCAGGGAGCCCAGCUCCGGAGGAGGCCGGGGAUGUAGGGACCACACGGAUGCUGGGAGAAACCAUCACCCCAUCACGUCUGGGAGGCAGAGCAGAGCUCCCUAACCCCCGGAGGACCAGGGCCUGGUGCGUGCCAGGGUGAAGGUCACCCGGAGCCCGGGGCGCUGGCGUUGCGGCCACUUCCUAUCGGUGAGGCCCAGGCUCCGUUACAGACUGUAUAGCACCAAGAACGAUAUUUCUUAACUGAUGCGUAGUGAUUAAAGACAUCCGUCGGCAGUGUCCUGCCUCAGGCCUGAAGGCCACUUGGAAAAACCAAGCCGAGGUCCCCACGGGCAGCAGGCUGCCUCUGAGUGGGGAUGUCCAGCCUCGGACAGCUGGUCCCAUCUCUCACCACCCACCUCAGAGGCUAAAAAGGAUUCACAUCCAGACCUCUGUAGAGAUAUUGUCAAAAUCACGUUUCUUCUCACGGCCAGCCUUCCUCGCGACGAGGCGGAUCACUGGAUCCUGGGAAAAGCAAUUCUUGUGGCCAGGAGGAGAAAAGAAAAUAAUUGCUCGGGAUCUGCAAUCAAAUGCAUCAGAGCGUUUUUAGAAGACUGAUCCUCAGCAAGAACAGUGAACUCCUGUAAGUAUGUUGAAAAUCAGGAUGCUGGUCUACUGUUGCUCCUGAUGUCUGCCUCUCUUCUCUACGUGGCCUCAAUCCUUCCAGCAGAUUUAAGUGUCAGCUGAAGCUGCAGGUGCCAAAAUGCUAUAGUCUCCUACUGUCACUUCCAUUUUUCAGUUUAAAGUUCCUUCCUGAAGGUGAGGCCAGUGGAUCCCAAAUCCUGCCUGCACAUCAUUUGAUUCACUGAUGCUGGUUGUGAAUAAACCCAUCUGUCCUUUGCACUUUAUCCUUUUUAUAACAUAACUUCAGUUUUCCCUCCUUGCCUCAUCCUUUGCAAGUGGUACAAACGCCUCUCAGAUACCUUUCCACUUAUUUCCCUAGGGGGAGCCGUCUUUGCCGUAUAUAUUCCGCCUAUAAUUAAGAUUUACUUCAUUUGUAAGCACUUUUCUUGGUAUGAUGUUAUUGUCCUAAGAAAGAGGGUUUGUUGUCAAGGUGACCAGGGUGGUGCGGUUAGCAGUUUGGGUUUUCUCAGAGCGGCAUGGUCACACGGUGACUCUGUUCAGAUGAUCUUGUCAGAUGACUGCUAAACAUCCAGAGGUAUCUCGACACCUGCCUCGUUGUCUGCCUCUCCGCGUUGUCCAGGUAGACCUUGCCUACCUACGCGUUGUGCCCUGAGUUUGAUGGCAGAGUGUAUUUUCUAACCAACCUUGAUUCCACUUCCGCUGAACUGGAUCUCCUCCCCGAUCACUAUACUCAUCAGUCACAGCUCAUACACUCAUGGCUCCAAGUGAUACAAGGGAAAACUGGAGGAAGGAAAAAGGCAAGAGAUGAGCAGCGAGGCGCAAGGGGGAAGAAGUUUUGUGUGAAGCUAAAUCCACACUGUUCCUGAUUAUUUCUAGACUAUAGAGUUCUUGAGGAUGGGCCACAAGAAGUAGAGUUAAGAAAGGUGCUGCAAGGGAAGAGAAUGGACAUUCUGAUGUGGAAGCAUCAGGGCUUUCUUCAUUCUCCUGUAUAUUCUCCCAUUUAUCCCAUCUUUAACAAGUUACUGAGUGCAGUGUACCAGGAGUGCUAGGCCCUGGGCUGCCAAGGGGAAUAAGACAUAAGCUUACUUCAAGAAGUUACUGUGCAGCAAGCCAGUCAGCAAUUAGUGUCCUUGGUUCUGCCUCUGAUUCUUAAUCUGUCCCCUUCCUUUCAUUCCAGGUGCCUCAUCACCUGCCUUUAUUACAUUUUACUGGAAUUUUUGCAACAGCCCUUAAUUGAUAGGUCUGUCUGUAGUUCUUUUGCUUCCAUCCCAGUGCCGCAACCAAAGUAGCUACCUUUCUAAAGCACAGAACAAAUCAUGUCCUAACUCUGCUUAUAUGUCUGAAAUGAUCCUCGUGAGAGACUGGCCUCCACUCCCCCAUCCAGCUUUGUCUCUUUCCAUGUUUCAGAAUAUCUCAUGAGCCAGCCACUCCUGACUCCAUCAACAGGUCUGUAAUUUUUUUUUCUUUUCUUUUCAGGGUUGGACCUGCGGCAUAUGGCAGUUCCCAGGCUAG